UCCAUAGGGAGAACAACAUCCAAAUAACAGAGGGUUUUGUUUGUUUGCCUUUGAAGAGCCAUUGGGAAUAAAAAGAAAAACAAACAAGCCUACUAAAAGGAUGUGACAUUCUAGACUGACACUCCAGAAAUGUCAGGUCAGCACAAAUCAAAACAGCGCUGGAAACUCCAGGACUCAGCCCAUCCAGCCAGUGUUCUUGCUCCGGGAUGGACCGUCUGUCUCUGCCUCCCAAUCACUGUGAUUACAGUCCCACAAGUGCUUUACUUAUCGGUCACAAGCUGCAGCUGCUGAGACUCUGGCAAUUCUGCUACACUCCCCUGUUGACAAAUGUCCUGCGCUGUGAUGGAGAAGCCCUCGGGCACCAGCAUCGAGCUACUUGGCACCUGUCAGACGUGUAAUCCUGGGUCUCACCCCAGCAUUGAGCUGCCUCUGUAGUCUGUUUUCACAAGGACCCCCCCUUCUUUGUGCUCUGAUGUGUGCCAAAAUCUGAAAAAACAUUGUUCUUUGCCAUUGAUUAUAAAUUGCACACACUGCUAGCUGAGAGAAGGAAAGGAAAAGCAAGCAGGCGCUCGUGGAGAUCACGGCAAGAGCGCGAACGGAGGAGUUCCUCUGGGUGGAAGGAAACAGCAGGGGAAUCAGAGCCCUCCUGCAGGAGAGGAGAAAUCCAGCCCUAAGAGCUACUUGCUUACAUCUAAGGAAUGUGGGUAUCUGAGAUGCUAGUUAACAGCUACAAUUGCUAAAGAAUCAGAAUCCUUCAUCGAGGAAGAAGAAAUAAAUGUUUUUAUGUUUAGUAAUAGAAAAAGCCUCAGAAAUCACACACAAUAGUUGAUGCUAAAGGAACACACGUGCUAUGGGGUUCACUUUUCUGGGGUCAUCUAUCCAGGUCUGAGUUUUAGCUAUUAACUUAAACUCUAUUUUUUUUUCUUCUACUCACUUUUGCCUUUUGUUUUGUUGGAGUGUUUGGCACUUUCUUUUUGUUUUACAUGAACAAAGGUAAUUAAUU